rnacentral:rRNA from 1 species
GAUGAACGCUGGCGGCGUGCCUAAUACAUGCAAGUCGAGCGAACGGACGAGAAGCUUGCUUCUCUGAUGUUAGCGGCGGACGGGUGAGUAACACGUGUAUAACCUACCUAUAAGACUGGGAUAACUUCGGGAAACCGGAGCUAAUACCGGAUAAUAUUUUGAACCGCAUGGUUCAAAAGUGAAAGACGGUCUUUAUGUCACUAAUAGAUGGAUCCUCGCUGCAUUAGCUAGUUGGUAAGGUAACGGCUUACCAAGGCAACGAUGCAUAGCCGACCUGAGAGGGUGAUCGGCCACACUGGAACUGAGACACGGUCCAGACUCCUACGGGAGGCAGCAGUAGGGAAUCUUCCGCAAUGGGCGAAAGCCUGACGGAGCAACGCCGCGUGAGUGAUGAAGGUCUUCGGAUCGUAAAACUCUGUUAUUAGGGAAGAACAUAUGUGUAAGUAACUGUGCACAUCUUGACGGUACCUACUCAGAAAGCCACGGCUAACUACGUG